AUGACUAAGAAAGGAAUGGAUGUACCUCCAUUUGCAACAGAAGAACAUUCCCCGCUUAAGGACCUAAGGAACACAGCUAUGGAUGGGAGUGCAAAUCUCAAGGAUAAUCAAACCAAUAAUCCUAAUACUAAUGAUCCUAAAAGGAAAAGUGUUCAAUCAUGGUAUGCUAGAAUGUCAGAUGAGAAGAAAGCGGAAUACAACGUGAAGCGUCGUACAUGUGUGACCUCGGCCUCAAUCUCUGCAAAUACACCUCAAAUGCACACUUCAGUUAGUCACAGUAAAGUGUCUUCUGUUUCUGCAGAUACACAAGUUGGUGUAGUCACACAUCAUCUUCAAUUUCUGUUAUCCAUAUCACUGCUCUUGGCCAUUGUUGGCAUCAUCAACACCGAGCACCAACGACAAGAGCCCAGUGGUGAACGAGGCCAAGAGAAUCCUGAGAAGCUGCAGCUGAAAGUAGCACUGGAGGUGGUGCCUGGGAGAAGCAGUGCAGGCAGUGGCCUAGAGGAGCGGAAGAGGUGUCUGGGACGAGCAUAG
rnacentral:rRNA from 1 species